rnacentral:misc_RNA from 1 species
GCAACAACAACAACAACAACAGGCACCUGAAAAGAAGGUUAAGAGUGUCAAUUUCAAUAUGCCUCCAACAAGGGUCGUGCUGCUUAGGAAUAUGGUUGGUCCUGGCGAGGUUGAUGAUGACCUAGAAGGUGAGGUGGCUGAAGAGUGCUCUAAGUUUGGUACUGUAACUCGUGUCUUAAUAUUUGAGAUUACAGAAACAAAUUUCCCUCAUGAAGAAGCUGUUCGGAUAUUCGUUCAAUUUGAGAGAGCAGAACACGCAACUAAAGCCCUUAUAGAACUUGAAGGUCGAUUUUUUGGCGGUAGGAUUGUUCAUGCCUGUUUCUACGACGAGGAGAGGUUUGGCAAUAACGAAUUAGCUCCCAUGCCAGGAGAAAUUCCUGGCUUUUGACCAAACAGUUAUUGUCCAAAUGUAACUUCUCUUUAUUUUUUAACCGGGACUGUAAUUUUGCAAGCUUGUUUAGCGUGCCUUACGUGAUACAUCUCCUUGUACCUAUCGUCUCAAGUUUACACAAAGCUAUGUAUCGAAAAACUUCACAUUAUUACUCUUGAGGGAAAUUGGUUUGGGUCCUUAGU